rnacentral:rRNA from 1 species
GAUGAACGCUGGCGGCGUGCCUAAUACAUGCAAGUCGAGCGAACGGACGAGAAGCUUGCUUUUCUGAUGUUAGCGGCGGACGGGUGAGUAACACGUGGAUAACCUACCUAUAAGACUGGGAUAACUUCGGGAAACCGGAGCUAAUACCGGAUAAUAUUUUGAACCGCAUGGUUCAAAAGUGAAAGACGGUCUUGCUGUCACUUAUAGAUGGAUCCGCGCUGCAUUAGCUAAUUGGUAAGGUAACGGCUUACCAAGGCAACGAUGCAUAGCCGACCUGAGAGGGUGAUCGGCCACACUGGAACUGAGACACGGUCCAGACUCCUACGGGAGGCAGCAGUAGGGAAUCUUCCGCAAUGGGCGAAAGCCUGACGGAGCAACGCCGCGUGAGUGACGAAGGUCUUCGGAUCGUAAAACUCUGUUAUUAGGGAAGAACAUAUGUGUAAGUAACUGUGCACAUCUUGACGGUACCUAAUCAGAAAGCCACGGCUAACUACGU